UUCCAAUUCGUUUGCAUCAUGAAGUUUCUCUCCAUUUUUGUGGUCAUUGCGAUGGUGCUAACGGCUGCUAGUGCACAGUGGAGCUGCCAAAGGCCGGGGACCCAAUGUUCGUCCCAUUGGCAGUGUUGCAGACAACGUUGUCGUAGAAACAGAUGUGCCUAGUUGGAAACACAUCCAGACGCGAGAAGCAUCAAUCUCUGCUUCGGGAGGACAUACCAGACAGGAUGCUGUGUUUUUCCAUAUCCUCAAUUCGUUGGAAGACCAUCUUCUGAGUAACCUCGAUCCAGCCGGAAUAUCUAAA